CCUACGGGGGGCAGCAGUGAGGAAUAUUGGUCAAUGGGCGCGAGCCUGAACCAGCCAAGUCGCGUGAGGGAGGACGGCCCUACGGGUUGUAAACCUCUUUUGCCGGGGAGCAACGGGCGUCACGUGUGGCGCCACUGAGAGUACCCGGAGAAAAAGCAUCGGCUAACUACGUGCCAGCAGCCGCGGUAAUACGUAGGUGGCGAGCGUUAUCCGGAAUGAUUGGGCGUAAAGGGUGCGUAGGCGGCCUGCUAAGUCUGGAGUGAAAGGUACCGGCUCAACCGGUACAGGCUCUGGAAACUGGCGGG
rnacentral:rRNA from 1 species